UGUGAUACCGCUCCAGUAAGGGUCUAUUGAAAUACACACACUACUUAGUACAUUCUAAAGGAGAUAGAGCUGGUGCUUAAAGCAGCUUUUUCAAUGGGAGGAAUGAACUGAAGGGAAGGCUGGUCUGUCAUUAAACAGGGAUUGAUCCUCGUCUUUAAGUAAAUGUGAGGCUGCAAAUUAACUCAAGAUCACUUCAAGGGUCCCCUCUGGUAAAGAGGUGAUGCCGUGAGAUGAUUUAAAGGUGAAAUGACAAGGUUUCCACCCCUUAAAUCCAGGCUACUUUCUGACAGUGCAUCUCAGCACUGAUAUUUCAUUCACUCUGCACGCAGGAUUGGAGCUGAAGAGAAGAAGGGGACAAAAGAGUUUUUCCUAAUCCUUGUUUGCGUAGAUUAUUCUAGGAACUUAUCGGAAUCCCUGCCGUGGAAUGGAUGGAUUUAAGACAAUGUGUUAAAUCUUUUGGAUGAACACUAAUAGGGCUCUUUGCUACUGGCUGGAUUACUCAGAGAAUUACCCUGCAAUGUCCUGGUUCCUGUGUAUGUGGAUUAGUGCAGGAGCCAUGCUGCUCUGUCAAGCGAGCUUUUACGACACCAUACAGCAGCACCACCUACCCAGGCCAGGUAGGAGUGCCAUCCAGAUCCUAGAAGGAGGGACGUGUGAAGUUAUUGCAGCACACAGGUGUUGUAACAAGAAUCGUAUCGAGGAAAGGUCACAGACAGUAAAGUGCUCCUGUCUACCUGGGAAAGUAGCUGGGACGACAAGAAACAAGCCUUCGUGUGUUGAUGCAUCCAUAGUGAUCGGAAAGUGGUGGUGUGAGAUGGAACCGUGCCUGGAAGGCGAGGAGUGCAAGACAUUACCUGAUAAUUCAGGCUGGAUGUGCUCAUCUGGGAACAAAAUCAAGACCACAAGGAACACCCAGCCGUAUUCAUCUUUUUAGCUCUGGAGGCAAAACACAGAAGACCUUAAAUCCUGCAAAAUAGAGGUGCGGCAUUGCAUUUGUUUUCUUAAAGAUUCAUCCCAGGACCUAACAAAGAGCUUUUUCAAAGAAAACAAACACAAACUCUUCCAUAAGAUGGACAAAACCAUUACUACAUGGGGACAGGAACGGAUUAUGCUUCAUGUUGUGAUCUAAAGGAUGAUAUUCAAGACAAAGACUUGAAAUUGUUCUGAGGAAGAAAAAAGGUGCCAAGGAUUUUAAAAACAAGACUUGACCAUUUUGCUCAAUGGGUCCUGAACUGGUGACUUCAUCUCAUGCUAGUGGCAUUUAUAGAUCUUGUGUGGCUUUUGCAAUAUGGAAACAUGUUUUUUCCUUUAAAACAUAUACAACAGCUAUUCCAAGGAUGUACAAUCAUCACAUAUUUUUAAAAAUGUAUGUUCCAGCCAGAUGUUGAGCCUUCAAUAUAAAAAAGGAUCCUCAAUGAAUGGUCAAACUGGAUCAUAUCUGGAUCUUCUGCACAAAGAAGUUAAUGAAAUCAACAUGGAAAAACUUUUAAAAUAGAGCCUUCUGCCUCUACCCUGGUCCAUCAUGCAACAUCAGCAUGCUGGCUUUGCUUAAACAUGCCAUACAUCUUCAGUGCAUUAUAGUGGUUUAGCUGUCCAUUUUGGAUGAUUUGAAAAAGAAACAAAAACAAGGAAAAAGUUGCCUUUUUUGCAGGAAUAAGGCAGGCAAGUUCUGCCAGUAAACUGGAAAAAAAACAAUGUCAGUAUAUCUUAAGUUAUCUGUUGGCAUGGUCUGUGUGUUUCAUGGGAGCUCUCUUUGUAUUUAAAUAUUCUGUAUAUAAAAUUUCAAAACCUUCAUCCAAUUCAUGAAGUCACAAGAUGGUGAUACCAGAAUUCUUCACAAUGCCCAAAGGACAGUUUUACUAUUAAUCAGCUCUGAAUCCAGAGUGAACAUUGUGAGAGGAAUCUCUUCUCUUUGUAUUGGAUGGUUUUCCAGCAUUUGUUUUGGCCCAGAGAAGCUUUAAAACUACAACUGAAUAUAACUCAUAGCUUUUAUUUGUUGACAAGUGAAGUGUUUUAACACCAGAGGGGGUUCUCUUUCCACAUUGUAUUAUCUCUGGACAUAAAACACAGCUGAGAUAAAUCUCACAAAACACAAAAGCAUUCUUCAUUCUGAACUAGACUGCAUCAAAGCCUGGGCCUCUUCAAAAAUUAAUUUUUUAUUUUCAUUUUUUUAGCAUCUGACAUUGAUAGCAGAUGUUAUAUUGUCUUUGUUUUGUUGGUUGGUAGAUUUUACUAACAUAAAUACAAGAUGAGAAAGUGGUACUGAGAAAAAAACAAUAGCCUACAUCUUCAGAAACCUCCAUUAGAUAUACAGCCUUACCAGAAUAAAAAAGGUUUUUUUUAUAUAUAUAUACAAUUGUUGCUGUUCUCCCAUUCUUUUCUUCCAGAGAAUGCAUUAUCAUGUUUACUGCCAGAAACACCCAUAUUAUUUAGAAACAAACUUACAGUAUGUCCCUUGUUAUAGUAAUUGUGCUGUUAAAAAGACCUCCAACUUCAAUUCAGCAAUUUAUGAUGCUUAGUACAAAGCACAUAAAACAUAAACUUUAAAGAUCGUCUAUGCAUGAAUAGUCAUUCUAAAAUGUGUAACAUUCCUUUACAGAUUAACUUUGAUGGUUGCAACACUAAAGCUCACAGAGCACAAGAUUCAUCUUAACAUCACUGCCCAGAUCCCCUGACAUUCCUGACCUUUAGUGUACUGCUGGGGUGCAAUUCUUAAAUGCACGAAACCAAAGGAAAAAGAACAGUAGCUGCAAUAAACCCACGAUCCCAA